CUUCCUUUAUUUUUUUCUUCAAGUUUUUUCUUUUAGUUAUCAUUUUAGAUCAGUCAUAUAUAUGGAUAGGCCUACUUCAUCAUAGGGUCUCUUUACAUGGGAAAUGUUUCUGAAGUAGCUGCGAUCGAUCAUACGGCGAGAGUAAAAUGACUUGGGACUUGGGAGGAUCUUCCGGGAAUUCAUGAAAUUACUUAAGUGAAGCUUUUACUCCCGAGAGCUUUCGAUUGACUUUCAGUGUAUCACGAGGCAAUUAUAUUUCUUACUUCCGCUUAUAAGGAGAGAUUGAAUAACGAAAACGGGAAAAGAUUGACACUGAUGCACGCUUGUCUAUUUAAUAUUUGUUUUUGUCAAGGUCUUUGUUUGACUAGUAUUAUAUAAUAAGAAUUAUUUUUUAGUAACAUCAUCUUCUGUCUCAGGAACUCUUUCCAGAUAACAGAAGUGAGCGUUUGAGAUUGCUUGUUAUAAAUAAUUUUAUGCAAAAUGGUCAAUCGGUCCAUCCGUUCCAUUGAGGCAUUCAUCUGCGCAUAUCCGCUUAUGAGUAAUUCACUUUAUUUUCCAUUAAACACGGAGGGUCACUUUGCAUUGCAAAUUCCCACUUAAAUUAAACAGAAAAUAAUAAUAGGAGAUGAGACUUGUGAACGAAAAGGAGAUGAGUAAUAAUUUUCGAAAUGGAUUGUGUACUUAUAUAUAGUUAGUGUGACUCACGUUCGAGCUUCACGUUUGUGCGCACGUGCCACUUUUCGUUCGUUUGACAGAGGGGGAAAGGUUUUGUUGCCCGUCUUGUGUACUCGGUUCCAUUUGAAGCGACAGGUGGGAUGAUCUGGCGGUACAGGUGGGUCUCAUCCUUUUGUGAUGAGAUACUCAUGCAGAGUUAGAUUGCCUACAUGGGCGGAACUUUUGUGAACGACCAACACACAGGUUUGCUAUAUCUUUUCAAUGUCAUAGCGUCAAAAACUACACGCAGUUAAUUUUAAUGUCAUACGCAACAGGGAUCACCUUGAUGUCAUUGAUCGGUUUGGAUCCGUUUGUGUGAUGCAUCAUCUCUCGACUCUCGGUCGCCAUGGACAUGGUACGAAUUUCUUUUUCCGCAGCAACUGUCAUUUCUACAACAAUUUUGUCUCUAAAAUUAAAAAUCUCAACCCAACAGAUUUCAAGAAAGUUUGGUCCAUUCCAUGACUGCCGCGAGAUGGGGCACGGAUUCGUGGCUCGAGAAUUUCGCCAUCCCUAGGGUGGGGCAUUCGAUUUGAGUAAAAAAGUUUACUAAACCGUAAACGGUUUAACGGACAGCUAGUAUAGGCCAUAUGCAUAACCUUUAAUAUCGUUAUACAGGUAACACAUUUUUACAAAACUAUGAUUGAAUGACAAAUCUAACUGUGACAUUGCACUAAGUCUAUACUGUAUAUGUUGGUUUUGUUUUGAUGCACUACGUAAUUU